rnacentral:rRNA from 1 species
UACGGGGGGGGCAAGCGUUGUUCGGAAUCACUGGGCGUAAAGGGCGCGUAGGUGGCGACCCAAGUCAAUGGUGAAAGCUCGAUGCUCAACAUCGAGUCGGCCACUGAUACUGGGUUGCUCGAGCACUGUAGAGGCAGAUGGAAUUCCGGGUGUAGCGGUGGAAUGCGUAGAGAUCCGGAAGAACACCGGUGGCGAAGGCGGUCUGCUGGGCAGUUGCUGACACUGAGGCGCGACAGCGUGGGGAGCAAACAGG